GCGGGGGUCACCGAGCCAGUUCAAAGUCGAUAGGUUCAGGGCCUAUUCCCGUAGGGGUUCGUGAGUUCGAAUCUCACCCCCCGCA
rnacentral:tRNA from 1 species